rnacentral:SRP_RNA from 1 species
UCGUGCUAGGCGGGGAGCUAGCGGUGCCCUGUACCCGCAAUCCGCUACAGCGGGGCUGAAUCCCCCCUCGAGGGCCCAGGCCAACUGGGACUGUCCCUCUUUCUGGCGUUGAGAGCUGGGUCCUGCGCGGCGGAGGCCUGCGAACCCCGUCAGGUCCGGAAGGAAGCAGCGGUAAGUAGUCACCUCUGGGUGCCGCAGGGUAGCCUGGCUCGAGUCGGGAUGAGGGUACAAGCCAGUGGGUACGGUUCGACAGGGGGUGCACGG